UGGGGAAUAUUGCACAAUGGGGGAAACCCUGAUGCAGCGACGCCGCGUGAACGAAGAAGGUAUUCGUAUCGUAAAGUUCUGUCCUAUGGGAAGAUAAUGACAGUACCAUAGAAGAAAGCUCCGGCUAAAUACGUGCCAGCAGCCGCGGUAAUACGUAUGGAGCGAGCGUUGUCCAGAAUUAUUGGGCGUAAAGGGUACGCAGGCGGUUUAAUAAGUCGAAUGUUAAAGAUCGGGGCUCAACCCCGUAAAGCAUUGGAAACUGAUAAACUUGAGUAGUGGAGAGGAAAGUGGAAUUCCUAGUGUAGUGGUGAAAUACGUAGAUAUUAGGAGGAAUACCAGUAGCGAAGGCGACUUUCUGGACACAAACUGACGCUGAGGUACGAAAGCGUGGGGAGCAAACAGG
rnacentral:rRNA from 1 species